rnacentral:rRNA from 1 species
GGGGCGCAGCAGGCGCGAAACCUUUACACUGCACGCCAGUGCGAUAAGGGGAUCCCGAGUGCACAGGCAUAGAGCCUGUGCUUUUCUGAACCGUAGGGAGGUUCAGGAACAAGAGCUGGGCAGGACCGGUGCCAGCCGCCGCGGUAAUACCGGCAGCUCGAGUGAUGGCCGAUCUUAUUGGGCCUAAAGCGUCCGUAGCUGGCCUUGCAAGUCCGUCGGGAAAUCCACCCGCUCAACGGGUGGGCGUCCGGCGGAAACUGUGAGGCUUGGGACCGGGAGGCUUGAAGGGUACGUCCGGGGUAGGAGUGAAAUCCCGUAAUCCUGGACGGACCGCCGAUGGGGAAACCACUUCAAGAGAACGGAUCCGACAGUGAGGGACGAAAGCUAGGGUCUCGAACCGGAUUAGAUACCCGGGUAGUCCUAGCUGUAAACGAUGCCUGUUAGGUGUGACUCCCACUACGAGUGGGUGUUGUGCCGUAGGGAAGCCGCUAAACAGGCCGCCUGGGAAGUACGUCUGCAAGGAUGAAACUUAAAGGAAUUGGCGGGGGAGCACUACAACCGGAGGAGCCUGCGGUUUAAUUGGACUCAACGCCGGACAUCUCACCAGCAUCGACUGUGGUAAUGACGGUCAGGUUGAUGACCUUACCCGAGCCACAGAGAGGAGGUGCAUGGCCGCCGUCAGCUCGUACCGUGAGGCGUCCUGUUAAGUCAGGCAACGAGCGAGACCCGCAUCCUUACUUGCCAGCAGCACCGUGAGGUGGCUGGGGACAGUAGGGAGACCGCCGUGGCUAACACGGAGGAAGGAACGGGCAACGGUAGGUCAGUAUGCCCCGAAUAUGCUGGGCAACACGCGGGCUACAAUGGCCGAGACAAUGGGUUCCAACGCCGAGAGGCGACGGUAAUCUCAGAAACUCGGUCGUAGUUCGGAUUGUGGACUGAAACUCGUCCACAUGAAGCUGGAUUCGGUAGUAAUCGC